UACGUAGGGUGCGAGCGUUUAAUCGGAAUUACUGGGCGUAAAGCGUGCGCAGGCGGUCCGCUAAGACCGAUGUGAAAUCCCCGGGCUUAACCUGGGAACUGCAUUGGUGACUGGCGGGCUGGAGUAUGGGCAGAGGGGGGUAGAAUUCCACGUGUAGCAGUGAAAUGCGUAGAGAUGUGGAGGAAUACCGAUGGCGAAGGCAGCCCCCUGGGCCAAUACUGACGCUCAUGCACGGAAAGCGUGGGGAGCAAACAGG
rnacentral:rRNA from 1 species